UAUUGGUCAAUGGGCGGAAGCCUGAACCAGCCAAGUCGCGUGAGGGAUUAAGGCCCUGCGGGUCGUAAACCUCUUUUGCCGGGGAGCAGAGGUCCGGACGUGUCCGGGCCGGGAGAGUACCCGGAGAAAAAGCAUCGGCUAACUCCGUGCCAGCAGCCGCGGUAAUACGGAGGAUGCGAGCGUUAUCCGGAUUUAUUGGGUUUAAAGGGUGCGUAGGCGGGCAUUUAAGCCGGCGGUCAAAUGUCGGGGCUCAACCCCGGCCGGCCGUUGAAACUGGUUUUCUAGAGUUGGAGAGAAGUAUGCGGAAUUCGUGGUGUAGCGGUGAAAUGCAUAGAUAUCACGAAGAACUCCGAUUGCGAAGGCAGCAUACCGGCUCCAUACUGACGCUGAGGCACGAAAGCGUGGGGAUCG
rnacentral:rRNA from 1 species